GGGCCAUUUUUGGAAAGCAGAACUGGCGAUGCGGGAUGAACCGGAAGCCAGGUUACGGUGCCAAACUACGCGCUAACC
rnacentral:ncRNA from 1 species